AGCGAACGCUGGCGGCAGGCUUAACACAUGCAAGUCGAGCGGGCGUAGCAAUACGUCAGCGGCAGACGGGUGAGUAACGCGUGGGAACAUACCUUUUGGUUCGGAACAACACAGGGAAACUUGUGCUAAUACCGGAUAAGCCCUUACGGGGAAAGGAUUUAUCGCCGAAAGAUUGGCCCGCGUCUGAUUAGCUAGUUGGUGAGGUAACGGCUCACCAAGGCGACGAUCAGUAGCNGGUCUGAGAGGAUGAUCAGCCACAUUGGGACUGAGACACGGCCCAAACUCCUACGGGAGGCAGCAGUGGGGAAUAUUGGACAAUGGGCGAAAGCCUGAUCCAGCCAUGCCGCGUGAGUGAUGAAGGCCCUAGGGUUGUAAAGCUC
rnacentral:rRNA from 1 species